rnacentral:rRNA from 1 species
UACGUAGGGACCAAGCGUUGUCCGGAAUCAUUGGGCGUAAAGAGCGUGUAGGCGGCUUGUUAAGUCUUGCGUGAAAUCUCGGGGCUCAACCCCGAGCGGUCGUGAGAAACUGGCAGGCUAGAGUGCGGGAGAGGAGAGUGGAAUUCCUGGUGUAGGCGGUGAAAUGCGCAGAUAUCAGGAAGAACACCCGUGGCGAAGGCGGCUCUCUGGAACGCAACUGACGCUGAGACGCGAAAGCGUGGGGAGCAAACAGG